ACGGGUGAGUAAUACAUCGGAACGUGUCCUGGAGUGGGGGAUAGCCCGGCGAAAGCCGGAUUAAUACCGCAUACGCUCUACGGAGGAAAGCGGGGGAUCUUCGGACCUCGCGCUCAAGGGGCGGCCGAUGGCGGAUUAGCUAGUUGGUAGGGUAAAGGCCUACCAAGGCGACGAUCCGUAGCUGGUCUGAGAGGACGACCAGCCACACUGGGACUGAGACACGGCCCAGACUCCUACGGGAGGCAGCAGUGGGGAAUUUUGGACAAUGGGGGCAACCCUGAUCCAGCAAUGCCGCGUGUGUGAAGAAGGCCUUCGGGUUGUAAAGCACUUUUGUCCGGAAAGAAAUCCUCUGGGUUAAUACCCCGGGGGGAUGACGGUACCGGAAGAAUAAGCACCGGCUAACUACGUGCCAGCAGCCGCGGUAAUACGUAGGGUGCGAGCGUUAAUCGGAAUUACUGGGCGUAAAGCGUGCGCAGGCGGUCCGCUAAGACCGAUGUGAAAUCCCCGGGCUUAACCUGGGAACUGCAUUGGUGACUGGCGGGCUAGAGUGUGGCAGAGGGGGGUAGAAUUCCACGUGUAGCAGUGAA
rnacentral:rRNA from 1 species